GGCGGCGUGGCCAAGUGGUCGAAGGCGAAGCUCUGCAAAAGCUUUAUUCAUCGGUUCGAAUCCGAUCGCCGCCUC
rnacentral:tRNA from 1 species